GUUGUGUCUACAGGGAUUUUUUUUUUUUCCUUUGCAUUUUUGGCUUUUAGAUGAAUGAAGAAUUUUCUCAGCAAAUUAUUAAUUACUCCUCCUUGCCUAUAGAAUUGAGUGCACUGUAGUUAUGUAGGAGUCGAUGGUAUUCAAACUGCAGCUUUUGAUGAAGUAAUCGGCUGCUUCUGGGGCCUCUUUCAGCUGCCCUGGGCGUGCUUCACAUGUAAACGACUGCCAAAUGGAUUCUUUCGACAUUCCAGCCAAUUAAAAUACAUUUAAAGUGCAGCUGGUGGAGAGGCAAGCCGGGCGAUUGUGCGGAGAAGUUCAGGACACAGAGACAAAAAACGAACUUUGCGGAACCCAGCUCGGGCAGCCCAGCCAGGCCUGGGGGUGUGGGGUGGGGGAGGCAGUGCAGAAAAUCACGAAAAGCGGCUAUCUUUAGCUUCCGUCAGAAUCAAAGAUGACACUUUGCGCACCACCUUAAAAGACACAAAAGAGGAAAGCAUGUUUGUUAGGGUGUCAGUUUUCUCCCCUUGCCUCUUGAAACUCGUUGUGUUGGCUGGUUGCCCAAUGUGCUGCUGCAUACAAAUAUUGACAGAACACAGCGGUGUUUGUUAAACGCCGGCUGGGGAAGCCAGUGAUUAAAACUCUUGAAGGAAGAUCUGAAAACCCCAGGAACUCUCCUCAAUAGCCUUAGAACGUUGACCGAGUGAGAGAGAAAACUGUGGGCUAAGGUGAAACACUCACCAUCCCUGUCUGCUAUGCCUUUUCGGAGGCAGCUGCAGUUGCACUAUCUGUGUGGUUCUGCAGGCUCUAUAAACACCCAGCUCUGUGGGUUGCGCUCAGAUGCCAGGUCUGAAAUUCCUGAGAAUGCUAAGAGCGAGCGUGGCUGAGCAGGAGUAUGGAUUCCUACCCAUCAAUUUACCAACGAAAGACACACAAAGUUCCUGAUUGUUUCCUAUCUUUGCCUGUCACGGUUGGCCCUUUCUGGCUUCAGUUUUGUUCAUUGCAAACAAAGAAUCUUGCACAUUUCACAGCGAAGGAUCACGUUGCAGUGUCCUGAGCUCAGUUAAAUGUGCUUUAUUAAUCUUUAAUGUGCCAGUAGCUCUGAGGCUAUGCCAAGCUGAGACUUUCCAAAACUCUUCAAGCUACCUGCUGCCAAGAUAAACGGUGGCAGGCCCAGAAGGGAUAUUUUAAAGAAACUUGCAAGAGCAAAGUUUUACCUAUUAAGUUUUUCUUGA
rnacentral:lncRNA from 1 species